rnacentral:rRNA from 2 species
CUGACGGAACACGCCGCGUGAGUGAUGAAGGCUUUCGGGUCGUAAAACUCUGUUGUUCGGGAAGAACAAGUACAAGAGUAACUGCUUGUACCUUGACGGUACCUAACCAGAAAGCCACGGCUAACUACGUGCCAGCAGCCGCGGUAAUACGUAGGUGGCAAGCGUUAUCCGGAAUUAUUGGGCGUAAAGCGCGCGCAGGCGGUUUCUUAAGUCUGAUGUGAAAGCCCACGGCUCAACCGUGGAGGGUCAUUGGAAACUGGGGAACUUGAGUGCAGAAGAGAAAAGCGGAAUUCCACGUGUAGCGGUGAAAUGCGUAGAGAUGUGGAGGAACACCAGUGGCGAAGGCGGCUUUUUGGUCUGUAACUGACGCUGAGGCGCGAAAGCGUGGGGAGCAAACAGGAUUAGAUACCCUGGUAGUCCACGCCGUAAACGAUGAGUGCUAAGUGUUAGAGGGUUUCCGCCCUUUAGUGCUGCAGCUAACGCAUUAAGCACUCCGCCUGGGGAGUACGGUCGCAAGACUGAAACUCAAAGGAAUUGACGGACCC